AUUGAACGCUGGCGGCAUGCCUUACACAUGCAAGUCGAACGGUAACAGGUUAAGCUGACGAGUGGCGAACGGGUGAGUAAUGUAUCGGAACGUGCCCAGUCGUGGGGGAUAACUGCUCGAAAGAGCAGCUAAUACCGCAUACGACCUGAGGGUGAAAGCGGGGGAUCGCAAGACCUCGCGCGAUUGGAGCGGCCGAUAUCAGAUUAGGUAGUUGGUGAGGUAAAGGCUCACCAAGCCGACGAUCUGUAGCUGGUCUGAGAGGACGACCAGCCACACUGGGACUGAGACACGGCCCAGACUCCUACGGGAGGCAGCAGUGGGGAAUUUUGGACAAUGGGCGCAAGCCUGAUCCAGCCAUGCCGCGUGCGAGAAGAAGGCCUUCGGGUUGUAAACCGCUUUUGUCAGGGAAGAAAAGGUUCUGGCUAAUACCUGGGACUCAUGACGGUACCUGAAGAAUAAGCACCGGCUAACUACGUG
rnacentral:rRNA from 1 species